ensembl:lincRNA
CAGCAUUUGAGCUGGACUUGGAAGUUGAGUAGAGAAGAGGAGGGAGAGAGCUCAAAUCUGACUGAGGAUGAGUAGAUGUGCGGUGGCAGGAAACCUUGAAAUCUAUUUAGGAAAUGGAAAACAGAGAGUUUGGAAAUGUGUUUACAGGCCAGGCCUACAAGGAAGGAGAAAGCCAGGUGCUUUGGAUUUUCAGGCUGUCGUCUUUAACAGCGUCAGGCCUACAUUAGAUCAAGAAAACACCUCACUGGAAGCCUUACGCCCAGGACGCUGGGUUCUGGAACCCGGAUCAGCCUGCAUUUGUCCAUGUCUUCUAGCUGCUAUUCUAGGCCCUAUUUCAUCAUGCCUUGGAUCUAUAGCAUCUGAGGAGUACAGUAUCCUCUUUGAAAGGAAGUCGGCUGCAAGCUGUCCAAGUGAUUUAAGGAUGUGAUUCCAGUUAAAUCAAAGCCUCCCUUUACCAGAAAGUCAUCCCUGUGAUUUAAAAAAAAAUGUGGUAAAAUAAAAUAUAUACAGCAUCAAAUGUACCAUGUAAACCAUGUUUAGGUGUACAUUUCGUGGCAUUAAGUACAU